ensembl:lncRNA
UAAGCGAUGCUUAUGAUUGUGCCAGAGCACACUUUGAACAACACCCUGGGAAUUUCAGAUUUCGCACAGGUGGUUGGUUGUUACACAGUGGAAAUGGAAUGAAGGGUUUUCACGUCAAGAAAUGCAGGAUUUGGAGGGGAAAAUGGACGGCUGUAGUGAAAAAGCCGAUGGCAGCAAUCAAAACGCUUUGAUGACUGUAUACAAAAAUGUGCUGGCUUGCUGCGGUGAGGAGGCCUACAAUCCAGUCAAUGAAAUAUGCUGUGACUCAGCCAUCAGAGUGAAACCUGCUGUUAAGAGCAAGUGUUGUGGUAAAGAGGCCAUCAAUGAGGAUAAGCAGUUGUGCUGUCAAAUCAACAAGACGAUAACAAGGACUUCAAGUCUAUACCAGUGCUGUGGAAGUGAAGAGUAUAACACUGAGACUCACUGUUGUGAUAGCGAAUUACAAAUCAAACCAUUCGGUAAUAGUUCCAUUACCUCAAGAAGACAGGUUGAUGACUGUGAACCAGAAAGCAAAAUCUGGACCGAUCAGAUAUAACAAAGCAGGAAAUGAUCACUGCUGUGGGGUGAAAGCCUACAACAUUACAGACCCAAAGAUGAAGUGCUGUGCAGGAACACUGCACCGUCUCACAGCUGCAACUGCAAAUGGCGAGUGCUGUGGAUCCAUUCUGUACACAGAGGGUGUUUGCUGCCUGAGUGAGGAUAAAGAGGUGUUCUACUCUGCAAAGGCAGAUUUCAGAUGUUGUGGACAUCUCUACUACAACACCUCUCUGUGGUCAUGCUGUGCAGGGAAACUGAGACCUCGGAAAUCAGGGGUGUUCCACAACUCCACAAUUUUGUCCUUGAACAAACUAAAUCAAGCAGAACUUUGCAACCCAAUAAAAAUUGGGACUGUGGAAAGUGUAUCUCAGCACAGCAUCGUGUUCAGCAGUUUGCUGGAAAUCAAUGGGCAAAUUGCUUCUUUGAAACCUCUGGACUGGCAUUAUUCCUGGAACAAACCUUAUUUACCUGAACUAACUCCUGGGAAGACUUAUUUCUUCAACGAUAAUAAUGUCUUCAUUGAUUUCAAUCAUGACUCUCUUCUUCAGUCGAUCCGUUUCAUUAUUUCCAAAUGUUCGUCUGGUUAAUCUGGUUAAUCUGCUCCAGUGUGCAAUAUGAAAUUAGUUCUCAGAGAGUGACAAAAGCUUCAGUAGUAAAAUAUGUACUUUGUGCAGUCAAAGUCAUGCAAUAAGAUGGUGCACUAAAUAGUGUGUUGUCUGCGUUCUCAUAGUGAGUUCUCAUAAAAGCUCUUUACAGUUUUGUUCUUCAGAUUUUUUUCUUUUCAAAUUUGUAUUAUGUAACAAAAAACGUAAAAACUGCAGUUGUUUGGGCGGAUGCGAUUUUUCGCUAAUUUACUCUACUAUCAGCAAUAAAAGCUAAAUAUGCAGGUGCCCUGUGAUGUCUGCAUAUUUAUCUUUAACUGUGCUUAUAUUGUUUAUUUCUUAAUUGUUACUCAAUAGCUAAUUUUUCCCUGAGGUCUUUGUUCUGUGUUACUAUAUAUUCACAUUUAUACAAAAAUCAGUUAUCAUCAUCAUCAUAAAUGUAUUCAUGUUUUAUCCAAUGAAUAAAUUUUUAAAGAAUAUAUCAGUGGCCAUGUUUUUUUAUGAUGCAGUUUUUUUUAUUUAUGCUACAACUGGUUUUGUUGAAAAUCAUAUUUGGUGAGUAAUUCAAUAACCAUUGCUGUCAGAUGUGAAUGAAUUUAAUUUAAGCAGAAGUUAAGCUUUCAUUUUACCUGUUUAUAUUUUACCGUCUGCAUCCAGAGACAAUAACCAGAUUACUGUUUAUUAAACAGUAUUAAACAAAACAUUAUUCAAUUAGUUUUCUCUUUGGCUCUCGGAGGAGGCGGACACAUCUUCCCUGCUGCUGCUUUUAUGUCUUUGUCUAGUCUUGUCUAAGUCUAACCCUCAAACAGUCUCUCAGUCUUGUUCUCUAAAACCUAAAGAAUUAUGGAUUUGAUCAACUGGUCUCGUAAC